AAGUCGUAACAAGGUCUCCGUUGGUGAACCAGCGGAGGGAUCAUUACCGAGUUUACAACUCCCAAACCCCUGUGAACAUACCUAUCGUUGCUUCGGCGGGUUCGCCCCAGCUUGACACAAGCUGGACCCAGGCGCCCGCCGGAGGACCCAAACUCUUGUUUUUUUGAGUAUCUUCUGAGUAAACAAGCAAAUAAAUUAAAACUUUCAACAACGGAUCUCUUGGUUCUGG
rnacentral:misc_RNA from 1 species